rnacentral:rRNA from 1 species
AGUGAACGCUGGCGGUAGGCCUAACACAUGCAAGUCGAACGGCAGCACAGUAAGAGCUUGCUCUUACGGGUGGCGAGUGGCGGACGGGUGAGGAAUACAUCGGAAUCUACUUUUUCGUGGGGGAUAACGUAGGGAAACUUACGCUAAUACCGCAUACGACCUACGGGUGAAAGCAGGGGAUCUUCGGACCUUGCGCGAUUGAAUGAGCCGAUGUCGGAUUAGCUAGUUGGCGGGGUAAAGGCCCACCAAGGCGACGAUCCGUAGCUGGUCUGAGAGGAUGAUCAGCCACAAUGGAACUGAGACACGGUCCAGACUCCUAAGGGAGGCAGCAGUGGGGAAUAUUGGACAAUGGGCGCAAGCCUGAUCCAGCCAUACCGCGUGGGUGAAGAAGGCCUUCGGGUUGUAAAGCCCUUUUGUUGGGAAAGAAAAGCAGCAGGUUAAUACCCCGCUGUUCUGACGGUACCCAAAGAAUAAGCACCGGCUAACUUCGUG